UCUCCGUAGGUGAACCAGCGGAGGGAUCAUUACCGCGUAUUUCUACUCCCAAACCCCUGUGAACUUCUACCUUUACUGUUGCUUCGGCGGGUUAACGCCCCGGAAGGCCCAAAAAGCCGCCGGAACCAGGCGCCCGCCGGGGGACCCAAACUCUUGUAUUUCUUACUUUGCAUGUCUGAGUGGAAUCAUAAACAAAUGAAUCAAAACUUUCAACAACGGAUCUCUAGGUUCUG
rnacentral:misc_RNA from 1 species